GACGAACGCUGGCGGCGUGCCUAACACAUGCAAGUCGAGCGGGGUUGAAGCGAGGGGUAACUCGAACUUCUACCUAGCGGCGGACGGGUGAGUAACGCGUGGGCAACCUGCCUCAAGGUCUGGGAUAACAGCUCGAAAGGGCUGCUAAUACCGGAUAUGCCUAUAGCCUCGCAUGGGGCUAUGAGCAAAGGGGAAACCCGCCUUGAGAUGGGCCCGCGUCCCAUCAGCUAGUUGGUGAGGUGAAGGCUCACCAAGGCGACGACGGGUAGCCGGCCUGAGAGGGUGACCGGCCACACUGGGACUGAGACACGGCCCAGACUCCUACGGGGGGCAGCAGUGGGGAAUCUUGCACAAUGGGCGAAAGCCUGAUGCAGCGACGCCGCGUGAGCGAAGAAGGCCUUCGGGUUGUAAAGCUCUGUCUGGAGGGACGAACAAAUGACGGUACCUCCGGAGGAAGCCACGGCUAACUACGUGCCAGCAGCCGCGGUAAAACGUGACGUG
rnacentral:rRNA from 1 species